CGGGUGAGUAAUACAUCGGAACGUGCCCAGUAGUGGGGGAUAACCCGGCGAAAGCCGGACUAAUACCGCAUACGACCUACGGGUGAAAGCAGGGGAUCGCAAGACCUUGCGCUAUCGGAGCGGCCGAUGUCAGAUUAGCUAGUUGGUGGGGUAAAAGCCUACCAAGGCGACGAUCUGUAGCUGGUCUGAGAGGACGACCAGCCACACUGGAACUGAGACACGGUCCAG
rnacentral:rRNA from 1 species